rnacentral:rRNA from 1 species
AUGAACGCUGGCGGCGUGCCUAAUACCUGCAAGUCGAGCGAACAGACGAGGAGCUUGCUCCUCUGACGUUAGCGGCGGACGGGGGAGUAACACGUGGAUAACCUACCUAUAAGACUGGGAUAACUUCGGGAAACCGGAGCUAAUACCGGAUAAUAUAUUGAACCGCAUGGUUCAAUAGGGAAAGACGGUUUUGCUGUCACUUAUAGAUGGAUCCGCGCCGCAUUAGCUAGUUGGUAAGGUAACGGCUUACCAAGGCAACGAUGCGUAGCCGACCUGAGAGGGUGAUCGGCCACACUGGAACUGAGACACGGUCCAGACUCCUACGGGAGGCAGCAGUAGGGAAUCUUCCGCAAUGGGCGAAAGCCUGACGGAGCAACGCCGCGUGAGUGAUGAAGGUCUUCGGAUCGUAAAACUCUGUUAUUAGGGAAGAACAAAUGUGUAAGUAACUAUGCACGUCUUGACGGUACCUAAUCAGAAAGCCACGGCUAACUACGUG